rnacentral:lncRNA from 1 species
GGGUACUGAAGUUUGAUUGGUUCAUGCUUCAUACAAACCUUCAAAAUAAAUUGCAAAUUUAAUACAUUACAAGACUUGGAUUUACACACCCCAAAACAGUAAAACAUGUAGUCAUACUUAUUUUACAAUCCAUGGUGACAUGAUCAAAUUAACCUUCAAAAUUUCAUAUAAAUAUACAACAUAUAGAUCAUGUACAAGUCCCAAGAUUUAUGCAAACUAUAGAUGCCUAUAUGCAAAUAUGAUCUUCCAUAAAUCUCUCAAAAACUCCAUCUCCAAUGGCCAGCUUCAAGUAUCCCCUCGAACGUUCCCU